AGUGAACGCUGGCGGUAGGCCUAACACAUGCAAGUCGAACGGCAGCACAGUAAGAGCUUGCUCUUACGGGUGGCGAGUGGCGGACGGGUGAGGAAUACAUCGGAAUCUACUUUUUCGUGGGGGAUAACGUAGGGAAACUUACGCUAAUACCGCAUACGACCUACGGGUGAAAGCAGGGGAUCUUCGGACCUUGCGCGAUUGAAUGAGCCGAUGUCGGAUUAGCUAGUUGGCGGGGUAAAGGCCCACCAAGGCGACGAUCCGUAGCGGGUCUGAGAGGAUGGUCAGCCACACUGGAACUGAGACACGGUCCAGACUCCUACGGGAGGCAGCAGUGGGGAAUAUUGGACAAUGGGCGCAAGCCUGAUCCAGCCAUACCGCGUGGGUGAAGAAGGCCUUCGGGUUGUAAAGCCCUUUUGCUGGGAAAGAAAAGCAGCAGGUUAAUACCCCGCUGUUCUGACGGUACCCAAAGAAUAAGCACCGGCUAACUUCGUG
rnacentral:rRNA from 1 species